rnacentral:lncRNA from 1 species
UUUUUUUUUUUUUUUUUUAAGCAGACUUAGUGGAUUAAUUGUAGACCCGGUCACACCUGCAGCCCAGCUUGGCAUUCAGGCCAAGAAAAUGCACCGAUGUGUUUCCUUCUAGAAAGAGUGGGUACAAGCUGUUGAGGUUUCUGGGUCCUCCUUUUUCCUUUUUUCUUUUUGACUUGUGUUCGUUGCUGUUAGACUCUUAACUAGGGCUUUUCAUACAUGGUUAUAGGUUUGCCUGUGAUGUUCUCUAUUGUGACAAGUUGAUCAUACAUUAGUUGGGGUUGAAACCCAUAAAACCAAGCCUGUUAGCAUGGAAUCCAGAGGAAAAGUUACUGGGCACUCCUCAGAGGAACGCUCCUGGGAGAAAGGAGGAUGAGAUGGGCAGAAUCGAAGGCAGCCAUUCACCAGCCUUUGUUGAGCUGUUUUAGUUGGUGUCAAUCUUGAGGUACGAGACCCAGUAAACUAAAUUUGCAUAACUUGAGGACCUUUUCUGGAUGCAGAGUGAGGACUGAGGAAACAAGUGGCUAGAGCCUGAUCUGUAUUCUUCAGUCAUACAGAUGGUUAUUUGAAAUCGAAAUGUUCACUCUCCUCAGAUUAUGUUGCUUAAAGAUUCGAAGCCUGCUGAGGCACUUGGGAAAGACAGGAGGACUGCUCCAUUGUAUAAAGAUAAAAACAAGUCGGAGAGCUCUCGGGCAUAAUUCAAGCCUUACUGAUUUCCAUCUUGUGAACAUUAACUUGUUCUUAUCUCCUAGCCCCCAGUGAGCCCAUUUCUCCACAUUUUCUGACAAAGUUCAUCAAAUAAACCAAAGUGAUUUCCUCCUGGGAGCCUAGAGUGCUAGGGAAACACAGCCUUCUCUAUCUGUGAGGGGCAGCUGUCCUCAAGUGGACCUGUCCUCUGUGUUAUUUACUUAUCAAAUAUUGCAUCACCCUGGGAGAGGAAAACAGUUUGAAAGAUUCUAGUGAAAAGCCAGGCUGAGAUAAGCCUUCUAUUUUAUUCAUACACCACACACACACACACACCCCUACCUAUGCACACACGUAUUCCUGCCAAAUGGGUUAUAGCAAAUCAAAAGCUGAUUUUUUGAAUUCUAAACUUGUAUUUAUUAGUCUGUCCUCUCUUUGUCUCUGUCUUUGUCUCUGUGUCUCUGUCUGUCUGUCUGUCUGUCUGUCUGUCUCUCUCUCUCUCUCUCUCUCUCUCUGUGUGUGUGUGUGUGUGUGUGUGUGUGUGUGUGUGUAGAAGGAGGGAAGCUCAUGUGUACCAUAUCAUGCAUAUGGAGUCAAAAGACAACUUGUGAGGCUAGGUCAUUUGGGUUAGCAGGAAUUAAACUCAAGUGGUCAGAUGUGUGUAACAAAUGUCUUUACCCACUGAGCCAACUAUCACUGACCCUUUUUAUUUAUAUGGCUGUUGUUUCAGACAGAGUCUUUCUUUCUGGUAUGGACUAUUUUGUCGCUCAUUCUUUGACUGAGGCUUGGCUUAAACUCACAGCAAUCCUCCUGUCUUCACCCUGAGUAGUAAGAUUACAUUUAUGAGCUGUAAUACUAGUUUAUUUUAAGGUUUUAAUUUUUGUAAGGCAUGCACUUUUUAUUGAGCUGGUCUCACGUCAAUGUGCAGGAAAAGCUCUGGCUUCCUUGACUCUUCAAUCUACUCUCAGGAAGACUAAAAGCCUUCAGACAUCUCAAGUUGGGCACACAGAAAGGGCCAUUAAGAAUUAAGGAAAAGAAGUAGAACUCUUGGGUACAAAAUUGACACAAAAGCAAUAUAUUCACCUCCUCUGCAUGGGUAUAGACUAGGUUGCCACCCAGUGGGCAGCUUUUGGGACAGCCAGGAACUUCCAGUAGCCCUGUCUCUAUAUCAUGGUUCCUUGGAAUAGCUAUUUUCAAGAAGUUCAAUCCAAGCCCUCAGACACAUUGCAGAACUUUGAGGAUGCUUGCUCUAACCAAAUGUGAUCCCUUCACUGCUACAGUCUUCAGCCCCGUGUCAAAGUCAUCGAAUCAAAAACAACAACCCACAAAUAUUAAGAUACUAGUAAAUACCAUGGCAGUGUCUCAUUUUUUUCUCUGUAUUAGGCACUGUCAAGAAAAUUUGUAAAGCAGCUCCCCCACAGAUUAGCUGGAAGCGUUUGUGGUGCAGGGCAGAGGGACCGCGCGCGUGUGAUACCUUCAGGAUAUUGAUCCAUGUUUGCUGUAAGAUGGCCAACAGGAUCAGGUUGGAGUCGCCAUCCAUAUUGAGAACCUGCUCCCAAGAAGAGUCAUGGCCUUGAUUUUCAUUGUGCUGGGAGCUAGGGCAGUGGACUCCUUUGAGUGCUGGUAGAAAAGCCUGGGGAAAUGGCAGUGCGGUCUAACAACAUUGCUUUGGCAUCGAGAUACUUGGGGAUGUGACGUCACAUUUCAUGAUGGAAUUGAAGGUAGUUUGUGAGUGAUGUAGGAUUAUAAACCUGGAAAGAAAGGCUGAAAGAAUACCUGGGAUAGCAGAUUGCUCAUUGCCAUGGUGAUGACCUGGUGGUCCUGCGACUUGUAGCUCUACUCUGGGAGAGGUUGUAGAGCCAGAUGGUUUCCUGCUCAAAAUCCAGGGUGACUUAGUAAGCCUCUUGAUCCCAUGCUCAAUCUUCACUCAGCCAUGGUAGUGAAAAUGUAGCCACGUUGGGUCAGUAUUUUAGGAAGUAGUUUGUCAGGUCCCUGCCAACCAGGUCUGGAUGCAAGAUGACAGAGUGGGGCAGAGGGAAGCCCUUUUUGAUGGGCAGUGUCGGUUACCCUGUUGCUGGAGUACAUAGUGAUGCCAAUGGUAGACAGAGGUGACAGGGAGAGCGCUGCUUUGAUUUAUGUAUAUGGUUGGGGUGCCGAAGGUCUCAAAUAUGAUCUGGGCCAUCUUUUCACCAAAGGCUUUUUGGUUGGAUGGUGAAUGUCUCGGCUCUUCAUAGGCAUUUUAACUAUGGUGUCAGAUCUUCUCCUGGUCCUUCCAGUUGGUGGCAAGCUGGGGUCCAUGGGGCAUCUGAGGGUCAGGGUGCCUCUCUUGUUCUAGGCCUCAUUGCCCGUAUAUGAGUCCUCCUGGCCCGUGCCCACCAUCAUGUCCUGGUUCCACAAUGGCAGAGGGAAAACUGGGUUAAGGGAGCAUUGUCACAGAAAAGCUAACCAUGCAAAUGUUGAAGUUGCUGCUGACAAAGUACCCAAAACACCAUCCAGGGCAAGCUGGGUGGCAGGUGUGGACUGGAGGCGAAAGAGCAGAGAGGUCCUGUGCUCAUGAGGUGGUUUUGAACGAAUCAGUCUGGUUUUUUUGUUGUUGUUGUUGAGACAAAGCCUCACUAAGAAACUAAAAGGUUAGAAUGAACUCACAGUUCCUCAGCUUUAGAGUGAUAGGUUCAAGGUAAGUUCCAUUACGUCUGGCUCCACAAGGAGAUUCUUGGUUUUCGGCUUGUUGGGAAGAUAAAAAGUACAGAGUCCUCUAAUCUGCAUGUGACAGUCUCAUACUAAAUCAUAGCAAACACUUCUACCAUUCAAGUCUUGGUAUGUUUGACCAAGAAAGGCUGACGUGAAUGUGGUAAACACGUUAAGACGGCAAACAUCAAAGGUGAAAAACAGAAAAGCACGUGUGAACGGAUGCUGC